rnacentral:lncRNA from 1 species
CUUGAUAUACGGUUGGGAGACACAUUGUUGUAAAAUAAUCUGUAAGGCAGUAUUUCAUUUUUUCGUUAUCAACAAAUGAGUUCGCACUCCCCUGGAACUGAAGGCACUCCACGGAUAGUCUUCAUACUACCUGUGUUGCCUUAUUUCAUAUUCAUUUCAUGUAAACACUCUCUACUUGAGAACUUGAUCCAUGUUUCCCUGCUCCAAGGCCUUAACUGCGACAUAUUCUUUGCUCAAGGAUCCCCUAAUGCCAUGUUGGUGACAUGUGCCAGAGGGGACUGCUCCUUUCCCCCUCUCUACACAUGCCUGUGGACAUUUCUCACAUCACCACUCCUCUGUAGCCCAAUGGGAGAGCUUCUUCCCUCCCCUGUCUGGGGUAAGGAGGUGGUUCACAUGCAGUGUAAGGGCAGAGUUUGGUCACUCAGUCUCUGAAGGGUUAGCCAUCACUGUCCUAAUAGAUUGAAUGAUUUUGUUUAAUUGUAUCUUUAAUUAAUGCUAACAUAUGUCAUUCACCUAUUCAUUUGCAUUGUUGUGUGCUUAAAUAUUACAUUAACAUUUUGUAACUUAUGAAUAUAACUUGAGUUAAUGCAUUUAGUAUAUUUUAAUAUAGUGCUAUAUUUUUGGUACAUUGGUAUAAAUAUCUGAAUGGACUUUCUUUUGAGGAUGUUUUGAAUGCCUUCUGCCACAGAAAACAAAACUAGCAAGGUGGUCCAGGAUGGCACUAUGAACUGAAGGCUUUUUGGAGGGAAGUGACAUAAUUAUCAAACUUUAUAUUGAGGCAAAUUGAGUGUUCUAUAAAUUACCUGUAUCAGUUCUACCUUCUGUCAUCAUCAGAGAGAUUAGGAUUUGGGAGGAUAUUUAUAAAGUAGUCAUUAGGUCCCUCACUAAAGAACGGAUCAAAAUCACCAUCAAGGUUCUCCACAAAAGAAGAUAAUGACUGAAGAUGCUAUGAAAUACACAUAUAAAAUAUGAAAUACUAUAUGCAUGCUAGAGGGAAGUUAGACUCCUUAGGACAGUUGCCAUGUCUAUAUGGAAAGGAACAAGGAAUAUGGCAUAGAGACUUUGCAGCACUGACAGACAAUUAAAAUGGGGAAAUGAAGGUGAUCAUUGAAUAGUCUUAAGGGAUCAAAUACAAUGUGGGAGAUGCAGGGUAAAAUAAAAGACCCUAAUGACAAGAUACUGAAAUGUUU